rnacentral:lncRNA from 1 species
UCUGACUCCUGCUCUGAGUGAUUGCAAGGACCUAGUUCUGAAAAAUCUUGCAACUGUUAGAGUAACUGCAGAAUCAGGAAGGACGGAAACAGAAAGGAAGAAGAGGAAGAGGCGUUGCUUGAGUGUCCUCUCAACAUGGUGGCUAGCUUCCCACGGGGAAGCAAUUCAAGAGAACAAGUAGAAGCUUCAAUGUCCUUCAUCAACAAGCUUCGGAAGUCACACACCAUCACUUCCGCCAUAAUCUACGGUCACAAAACCCAUCCCUGAUUCAGUGUGAAGGAGGCUAACAAAGGAUGGAAAUACCAGUAGGUAAGGAUCAUUGGGGCCCAUCUUGGAAGCUGUAUACCUAGCACCAUAAUAUCAAAGAGAGCUAAAAGAUGUAGCUCUCAGUACAGCAUCUGUGUA